rnacentral:rRNA from 1 species
UACGAAGGGGGCUAGCGUUGCUCGGAAUUACUGGGCGUAAAGAGUGUGUAGGCGGUGCUCUAAGUCUGUUGUGAAAUCUCCCGGCUUAACCGGGAGGGUGCGGCGGAAACUGGAGUGCUUGAGGGUGGGAGAGGUAAGCGGAAUUCCUGGUGUAGCGGUGAAAUGCGUAGAUAUCAGGAGGAACACCUGUGGUGUAGACAGCUUACUGGACCACUUCUGACGCUGAGACACGAAAGCGUGGGUAGCAAACAGG